GUACACCUAAUUUGAGUUAUGGUCCUUAUAUUAAUUUGAUGGAGGGGUAGAAAGUGUCCUAACAUUUUGGGUUGGAGGGUGGGAAUUUGGGUGAGGUUUAGCCAUUGGGCAGGGGUUGUCUAUCUAUUUAGGUUCUAGUGAUAUAAUAUUUAGGUAAAGGUGGCGUUAGAGAUACAUAUGUAGUUUGUUGCCACCAGAAGUUUUUGGCAUUCUCUGGCCCAAUAGGUAUUCGGGUUAAGGGACAGGUCAUCCUUCUCAUUCUUGUAUUACAGGGCUAGGAAUUUCAGGAAUCCUCUAGCCCCCUUUAAUUAUAUUACCCUCCAGUUUACAUAACAAGCGUGAGAGAAGGAAUGGAUCCAUUUCCUGGGCCUCUACUUAGUAUAAAAUUACCAUCCACCACAACUCACAUGGUUUAGUGGAAUGACACGGGCCAUUCGCAAGGUCUCUACCUGCUUUUUUCUUUGUUCCCUCCACCAACUCUACUGGAUGGAAAAGGUGGGGAAAUAUGCCAUCUACAUGGUUAAUAUUGAAGUUUAUAGACCCAUGUAACGUUACCCAGUGUUCCUCUAUUCCUCCUCUCCAUGUCCCUUACUGGUGCUCUCCUCUUCCUUUCUCUUAAUGGUCCCCUCCCUGUCCUUUAGUGUUCCUUACCCCUCCCCUUCCUGUCCCUCAACUUCCAUUAGUGAUUAUCUCCCCUCUUUUGCCUGUCCCUUCGUGUUCCUCUCCCCUCCCCUCCAUGUCCCUUAAGUGUUCCUCUCUCCUGCCUCCCCUGUCCUUUAGUGUUCCCUCCAACCUCCCUUAGUGAUCCUCUUCUCUGUCCCUUAGUGUUCCUCUUCCCUCCCCUCCAUGUCCCUUAGUGGUCCUCUCCCCUUCCUGUCCAUUAGUGGUCCCCUCCCCUCUCUUCCCUGUCCCUUAGUGUUCCUCUGCCCUCCCCCCUCCUCCAUGUCCCUCAGUGUUCCUAUCCCCUCCCUCCCCUGUCCUUUAGUGUUCCUCUCCCCCUCCCUUGGUGGUCCUAUUCCCUUCCUUUCCUGUCCCUUAGUGUUCCUAUUCCCUCCCUUCCCUGUCACUUAGUGGUUCCCCCCAACCCUCUUAGUGUUCCUUCCCCCCUCCUCUUAGUGUUCCUCUCCCCUCCCUUCCCUCUCUUUUACUGGUCUCCACCCCCCCCCUUAGUGUUUCUUUUCCUGUCCUUUAGUGGUUCUCUCCCCUCUCUUCCCUGUCUCUUAAUGCCCCCAUCCCUUUUAGUGGUCCCGUCUUAGUGUUCCUUUUUCCUUCCCUCCCUUGUCUCUUAGUAUCCCCCUCCCUUAGUGUUCCUCUCUCCCCACCCCCCUUCCUUCCCUUGAUGGUCCAAUCCCCUCCCUUGCAUGCCUCCAGGCUCCUACCUAUUGUGUAGCGUGGCCCGAGCGGAGCGGACCACGGUACAGGAGCUUCUGAUUCCUGUAUCCGGCUGGAC